GUUCAACAUUAAUUAGAGAGAUACAUUGUCUACAGUCUAUUAAACUUAGAGACCAAUUAAUGUGGGGAUGAGAGCAUUGGUCAUAAAGAAAAGAAAAAACUGAAAUCUGAGGGAAAAUCCGAAGAAUCUAGGGAAGUUCAAUCAGAGGAAGAGACUAAAGAGUGCGAGAGAAAAAGCUUGGUUUAAAAUUGGGUUCUUCGGGUGAAGAAUCUGACGAGGAAGCAGAGUCUGCAGAGAAAGAUGGCGAAGAGGUAUUGGAGGAAGAAGAAGAGGAGGAUACUUUUGAUUGAUGAAAAAUGAUUUUGGUGAUCUCGAUGGUUUGUAGAAAGCGAACGUAACAAAUUUCGGAAAAGAAACUCAUAGUAGGCUCACAUAUUGGUCUUACUAUUCAAUUGCAUUCGGAGAAACUCCAAGUGUGGGAAUGACGGUCGGAGGAAAUUUAGACGAGUGACAGAGAAAGAACGAAGAGGUUAGGCAUUAGGAAAUGGGAGCUAAGAGAAAGACGAGAUGGGCGGUGUUGAAACUACAGCUCGUGUAGGCAUCACAUGCGUAUAGAACUUAUUUUUUGUCUCAUAUUAGUACUGUAACUUUAGAAAAUCUCGAAUCUCUGCUUUGUAUUCACCCUUUUGUGGGAAUUGUCUCAGCUUGGUACAAUGUUUCUUUUUGACAUCUUAUUCUGCUAUGCAUGUACUGUAGCUGUGUUUAAGUGAAGAUGAGAAUCACCAGUACUCACUGGUUCUUAA